AUAGCGUAUAUUAAAGUUGUUGCAGUUAAAAAGCUCGUAGUUGAACCUUGGGUUUGGCUGGUCGGUCCGCCUCACCGCGUGUACUGGUCCGGCCGAACCUUUCCUUCUGGGGAAUCGCAUGCCCUUCACUGGGUGUGUCGAGGAUCCAGGACUUUUACUUUGAAAAAAUUAGAGUGUUCAAAGCAGGCCUAUGCUCGAAUACAUUAGCAUGGAAUAAUAGAAUAGGACGUGUGGUUUUAUUUUGUUGUUUUCUAGGACCGCCGUAAUGAUUAAUAGGGAUAGUCGGGGGCAUCAGUAUUCAAUUGUCAGAGGUGAAAUUCUUGGAUUUAUUGAAGACUAACUACUG
rnacentral:rRNA from 1 species